CCCUUAGAUGUUCUGGGCUGCACGCGCGCUACACUGAAGGAAUCAGCACGUCUUUCUCCUUGUCCGAAAGGACUGGGUAACCCGCUGAACCUCCUUCGUGCUAGGGAUUGGGGCUUGUAAUUCUUCCCCAUGAACGAGGAAUUCCCAGUAAGCGCGAGUCAUAAGCUCGCGUUGAUUACGUCCCUGCCCUUUGUACACACCGCCCGUCGCUACUACCGAUUGGAUGGUUUAGUGAGAUCCUCGGAUUGGUCCCGGCGCGGCCUCUGGUCGUGCCGGAGUGCCGAAAAGAAUGUCGAACUUGAUCAUCUAGAGGAAGUAAAAGUCGUAACA
rnacentral:rRNA from 1 species